UACGUAGGGACCAAGCGUUGUUCGGAUUUACUGGGCGUAAAGGGCGCGUAGGCGGCGUGGUAAGUCACUUGUGAAAUCUCUGAGCUUAACUCAGAACGGUCAAGUGAUACUGCUGUGCUAGAGUGCGGAAGGGGCAAUCGGAAUUCUUGGUGUAGCGGUGAAAUGCGUAGAUAUCAAGAGGAACACCUGAGGUGAAGACGGGUUGCUGGGCCGAUACUGACGCUGAGGAGCGAAAGCGUGGGGAGCGAACAGG
rnacentral:rRNA from 1 species